ACUACGGUGCUGAAGUAACAAAUGCCCUGCUUCCAGGAAAAGCCUCUAAGCAUCAGGUAACAUCAAAUCGUACCCCAAACCGACACAGGUGGUCAGGUAGAGAAUACCAAGGCGCUUGAGAGAACUCGGGUGAAGGAACUAGGCAAAAUGGUGCCGUAACUUCGGGAGAAGGCACGCUGGUGUGUAGGUGAAGUCCCUGCGGAUGGAGCUGAGACCAGUCGAAGAUACCAGCUGGCUGCAACUGUUUAUUAAAAACACAGCACUGUGCAAACACGAAAGUGGACGUAUACGGUGUGACGCCUGCCCGGUGCCGGAAGGUUAAUUGAUGGGGUUAUCCGUAAGGAGAAGCUCUUGAUCGAAGCCCCGGUAAACGGCGGCCGUAACUAUAACGGUCCUAAGGUAGCGAAAUUCCUUGUCGGGUAAGUUCCGACCUGCACGAAUGGCGUAAUGAUGGCCAGGCUGUCUCCACCCGAGACUCAGUGAAAUUGAACUCGCUGUGAAGAUGCAGUGUACCCGCGGCAAGACGGAAAGACCCCGUGAACCUUUACUAUAGCUUGACACUGAACAUUGAGCCUUGAUGUGUAGGAUAGGUGGGAGGCUUUGAAGCGUGGACGCCAGUCUGCGUGGAGCCAACCUUGAAAUACCACCCUUUAAUGUUUGAUGUUCUAACGUUGGCCCCUGACCGGGGUUGCGGACAGUGUCUGGUGGGUAGUUUGACUGGGGCGGUCUCCUCCCAAAGCGUAACGGAGGAGCACGAAGGUUAGCUAAUCCUGGUCGGACAUCAGGAGGUUAGUGCAAUGGCAUAAGCUAGCUUGACUGCGAGCGUGACGGCGCGAGCAGGUGCGAAAGCAGGUCAUAGUGAUCCGGUGGUUCUGAAUGGAAGGGCCAUCGCUCAACGGAUAAAAGGUACUCCGGGGAUAACAGGCUGAUACCGCCCAAGAGUUCAUAUCGACGGCGGUGUUUGGCACCUCGAUGUCGGCUCAUCACAUCCUGGGGCUGAAGUAGGUCCCAAGGGUAUGGCUGUUCGCCAUUUAAAGUGGUACGCGAGCUGGGUUUAGAACGUCGUGAGACAGUUCGGUCCCUAUCUGCCGUGGGCGCUGGAGAAUUGAGGGGGGCUGCUCCUAGUACGAGAGGACCGGAGUGGACGCAUCACUGGUGUUCGGGUUGUCAUGCCAAUGGCACUGCCCGGUAGCUAAAUGCGGAAGAGAUAAGUGCUGAAAGCAUCUAAGCACGAAACUUGCCCCGAGAUGAGUUCUCCCUGAGACUUUAAGUCUCCUGAAGGAACGUUAAAGACGAUGACGUUGAUAGGCCGGGUGUGUAAGCGCAGCGAUGCGUUGAGCUAACCGGUACUAAUGAACCGUGAGGCUUAACCUU
rnacentral:rRNA from 1 species